CCUAUCAAUUUUCUAUGUUACUUUCUGCGCCUACCAUGGUGACCACGGGUAACAGAGAAUCAGGGUUCCAUUCCG